UACGUAGGGUGCAAGCGUUGUCCGGAAUUAUUGGGCGUAAAGAGCUCGUAGGCGGUUUGUUGCGUCGGCUGUGAAAUCCCGAGGCUCAACCUCGGGUCUGCAGUCGAUACGAGCAAACUAGAGUGUUGCAGGGGAGACUGGAAUUCCUGGUGUAGCGGUGAAAUGCGUAGAUAUCGAGAGGAACACCGGUAGCGAAGGCGGGUCUCUGGGCCGUAACUGACGCUGAGGAGCGAAAGCGUGGGGAGCGAACAGG
rnacentral:rRNA from 1 species